rnacentral:pre_miRNA from 1 species
AUAGGGUGGAUCUGAGGCAGAACUUUUGAAGAUUCUGACCCAUUUCUUCCUGGUAC